rnacentral:lncRNA from 1 species
CCAAAAAGCCUGUAAAGGUUUCUAGUAGGUCCCUAGCCCAAUAUCAUUAGAAGAAAGUUGUUUUGUAAUUAUUAAAAUCUGUACAUAGGGGAAAAUAAUAAAAUAAUAAUAAAAUAAUAAUAAAAUAAAAUAAACUUCGACGUUUCGAAGCUCUCCAUGUUUCGAGGUUCCAAAUUUCUCCUCGCUUGAAACGUUGAAGUUCUCCUUGAAUUUUCCAGGUAGUUUCAUCCUGAUAAAUCUGAAGCUUCCUGUCUAGUACAUACAAAAAGCAAACUAGCAAUGAUAAACCAACAAACAUACCAGAAACCGAGCCUGAAACAUCGCUGUACUUGUUUUGAUGAGAUGUCGCCAGUGAAGCGACUCCCCUGACGUCCUGACAUAACGUUUCUUCAGGCAUAGUUUACCACAAGGUAAAUGAUGUCCAACUGGUUCAAUAACCUCGUUAUAAAUAUGUUAGCAAAAUUAAAAACAUAGUUAUCCCACCAACUUUCUUCAACCAUACAAAUUAUACGCCAAUAUCAACACAUAAACACAAAUUUACAAAAAAUUACUAAAAAAUUUUACACAUGGAAAACUCCCGAAUCCCGACGCUGACCAUACGAAGCGGGGCUCUUUCCGACUUGCCUGUUAUCAUGUACAGCGGUUUACGCGGUUACAACGGCAAGAACUUCA